AGUGAACGCUGGCGGUAGGCCUAACACAUGCAAGUCGAACGGCAGCACAGUAAGAGCUUGCUCUUACGGGUGGCGAGUGGCGGACGGGUGAGGAAUACAUCGGAAUCUACUUUUUCGUGGGGGAUAACGUAGGGAAACUUACGCUAAUACCGCAUACGACCUACGGGUGAAAGCAGGGGAUCUUCGGACCUUGCGCGAUUGAAUGAGCCGAUGUCGGAUUAGCUAGUUGGCGGGGUAAAGGCCCACCAAGGCGACGAUCCGUAGCUGGUCUGAGAGGAUGAUCAGCCACACUGGAACUGAGACACGGUCCAGACUCCUACGGGAGGCAGCAGUGGGGAAUAUUGGACAAUGGGCGCAAGCCUGAUCCAGACAUACCGCGUGGGUGAAGAAGGCCUUCGGGUUGUAAAGCCCUUUUGUUGGGAAAGAAAAGCAGCAGAUUAAUACCCCGCUGUUCUGACGGUACCCAAAGAAUAAGCACCGGCUAACUUCGUG
rnacentral:rRNA from 1 species